rnacentral:rRNA from 1 species
CUUGACAUCCAGUGAAUUUGUUCAGAGAUGAAUUAGUGCCUUCGGGAACACUGAGACAGGUGCUGCAUGGCUGUCGUCAGCUCGUGUUGUGAGAUGUUGGGUUAAGUCCCGCAACGAGCGCAACCCUUAUCCUUAGUUGCCAGCACGUAAUGGUGGGAACUCUGGGGAGACUGCCGGUGAUAAACCGGAGGAAGGUGGGGACGACGUCAAGUCAUCAUGGCCCUUACGGGAUGGGCUACACACGUGCUACAAUGGCGCAUACAAAGGGCAGCAAGCCAGCGAUGGUUAGCGAAUCUCAUAAAGUGCGUCGUAGUCCGGAUUGGAGUCUGCAACUCGACUCCGUGAAGUCGGAAUCGCUAGUAAUCGUGGAUCAGAAUGCCACGGUGAAUACGUUCCCGGGCCUUGUACACACCGCCCGU